rnacentral:rRNA from 1 species
CAAGAGCGUAUAUUAAAGUUGUUGCAGUUAAAAAGCUCGUAGUUGGAUUUCUGGUACAACGCGCCUGGCCCGCUUACGUGAGUGCCGGUGCGCGUUUGCCAUCCUUCUAGAAAACGUCUCUACUCGGGCAACUGGGCCGGAUUCGCGAUCUAGAUCUUUUACUUUGAAAAAUUAGAGUGUUUAAAGCAGGCUAUUGCCUUGAAUACAUUAGCAUGGAAUAAUGGAAUAGGACUACGGUCUCUUUGUUGGUUUGAGGGACUGCAGUAAUGAUUAAUAGGGAUAGUUGGGGGCAUUAGUAUUUAAUUGUCAGAGGUGGAAUUCUCGGAUUUGUUAAAGACUAACUUAUGCGAAAGCAUUUGCCAAGGAUGUUUUCAUUAAUCAAGAACGAAAGUUAGGGGAUCAAAGACGAUUAGAUACCAU